rnacentral:rRNA from 1 species
CACGUAGGGCGCAAGCGUUGUCCGGAAUUAUUGGGCGUAAAGAGCUCGUAGGCGGUUUGUCGCGUCCGCUGUGAAAAAUCCAGGGCUUAACCCUGGACCUGCAGUGGGUACGGGCAGACUAGAGUGCGGUAGGGGAGAUCGGAAUUCCUGGUGUAGCGGUGAAAUGCGCAGAUAUCAGGAGGAACACCGGCGGCGAAGGCGGCAUCCUGGACCAAUUCUGACACUGAGGAGCGAAAGCCAGGGGAGCAAACGGA